CGGCGGGGACGUGGAGUACGGUCAGCAGGCGUGGGGAAGGACACGGACCGCCCACGGAGCACCCUGUGCUAAGCGCUUACAAGUCACAGAAUCUAUUAGGUUGGAAAAGACUACUGAGGGAAUCGAGUUCUAACUCAGGAUCGAACACAACACUGUCGAACAGACCACGGCACUGAGUAGUGCCAGACGUUUCUCGAACGUCUCUAGAGAUAGUGACAGCAACACCACCCCGGGCAGCCUGUUCCCAUCUUUAAUCACCCUCUCUGUAAAGAAAUUCCUUCUAAUGCCCAAUCAAAACUUACCCUCGCAUAGUGUAAGACUAUGUCCUCUUGUCCUAUUAAUGGUUGCCUGGGAAAAGAACCCGACCUCCCACCUGGGUUCAUCUCCUUUCAGGGAGGUGUGAAGAGUGAUAAAGGAGGCCUGCACCUCAUCUAGGCUGAACACCCUCAGCUGUUCCUCACAGCACCUGUGCUCCAGGCCUUUCCCCAGCACUAUUACCCUUCUCUGGACCCAUUCCAGAACCUCAGUGUCCUUUCUGAAUUGAGGGACUCAGAACGGGAUACAUCUCGAUGUGUGGUCCCACCAGUGCACAGUACAGGGAAAGAAUCACACCCCUUGUCCUGCUGGCCACGCCAUUCCUGACAUAGGCUAGGAUCCAACACCAGCAACAAAUGAACUGUUGUAGCAGCAAAGGAGACUCUGGGCUUCCCUUACACAGUUUGUAUCAUUUGAACAGUUCUAACACUGUUAGAGUUGUGUAAAUGCAUUUCACACCAAUCUAUUGAUACAAAUAUGAGAAAAGAAAUACCUACUCCAGCUUAGAUCCCUUACAUGAAUUAGUGCCAUGUAUGCUGGGGCUUCUGGAAAACAACUGCAAGAGUUGAAAAUCAUGCCGUUAAAGUAAUUUCACCUGAUUUAGUUUAAGUGCAGUCAUUAGUAAAUAUUUUUACUUGUAACCAGCUUAAAUGACCUGCAUCAGUAUACAGCUAGUUUUGCCUUUCAGAGUAAUCUUGCUCCGACAAAUUAACCUUAGGACACUAAACUCACAAUGCAUGGUGACACAGUCCAACACAGUUGCACAUGUUGUAUCAAUACACUUGGUGGGCAUGUUUAAGGCAGUCUGUAGAUAUAAAUACCAACCAGAAUAUUCUAUACACCCACCCUACAGAAUUAAAAUGAUACAUUUAUUUAUUCUCUUCAUGUAGUAUUAUCCUGUUUCCUGGCUGCAAUACUGCUUCAAGAGAAACUUCUUGUGUUCCAUGACUGUACUUGAUUGCAUUAUCUUUUUCUCCCUUCACUUUUAAACCUUUUCUGAACCUGUGUGUUCUCUCACAUAGUAACAUGCAAGGCCACAAUUCCAGUCUCUUUUGCCCUUGUCAUUUCUGUGCUGUUUCCUCUCACUUCACAGGAAGGCUGUUUAAAUCUCUGUGCUGCAUUGACCUCAAACAGCUCCUUUGAAAUCUCUGCAAAGAGAUUUCAGCAAGAUAUUGGUAAAAGUACCUCCAAUCCCAAAGAACAACAUUUCACUACAAUGUGGAGUGCAGUGUCACAACCAGGCUCCCCUGUAUUAUUUCUGUGUCUUGUUCCUCCCAGUUCAUCUGUGUGUCUGGACACAUUUACUAUAUCCUUAUGUGCCCAGCUAGUGAUUUGCUUUGGGGCAAACCAGGUUUGGUUUUUUUCCUUAUGUUUACAUCAUAUCAAAUACAAGGUGGUCUGAGCACAUACCUGUAUUCUACAGUAAGAAUCCUUGAUAAAAGUAAUGCAAUAAUAAAUUAGGUAUUCUGUCAAUCUGUCAUGUGAGGAUUCAGCUUUUGUUAUUUCAGUGAUACUUCCAGGCUUUAUUUGUAUUCAGAAAACAUUUUGAAGUUAAGGCAUUCUAUUGGACACCUGAUUUCACUUCUGAGAUUGUGUUUUCUUGCCAUCCCAGCUAUUCUAACACUUUAUCUUUUCAUCUUCUUAUUAGCAAGCCCCAGAACUUUAAUAAGAGUAAGUGUAUUUUAUCAGAGAAAGAAUUACAACAGUCUGAUGUCUUUCUUCAAAGUGAAGUAGGUCUGGUGUGUGAGCAUCAGGAACGUUUUCUAGUGGUUUGCCUUACCCACAGGUCAGGAGACAGACUUUAAAUGAUCUUCCAAAACAACCAUGAAGCCCCAUCACAAACUAUCCCUAAAUGCUGUCAUAGUUGCCAUACUUGUUCACAACCCUCUAUUAAUCCUUGUAUUGCAACUAUUUUAACAUUCUGGCCCUCAAAACAUCCCGUGGAUGAGAGCAGCAGUGGCAUUUUUGCUGAUGUUUUGGGUGAACCAGUCUGUUUGCAGGCACCUUCAACGAAGUACAUUAUAAACAAUUUUUGACUCCCUAACAGCAGUGUUUUCUGUAAUGCUGUCCCUCAGAAGGCAACCCAAGUUGCCUUUUGGUUAUAUGUCUCUGUGGCUUCUGAUAAGCAUAUUAACAUUUCUGUUUGCAGCUGAGCUACAUUCUGGUCUGAUGACACUUCCAGGUUUUCAAGAGUGCUGCAAGAAGGAUCAGAAAAUGAAUGAGGACUGUUGUCCACAAAUCCACAUCCAUCUAAGUGAAAAUUCUCAAUAUGAACAGAUGCUGAUAAAGCACUGGAACAAUGCCAGGUAUUUUAGGAAAUGCAUUGCUGUUUCCCUGGAUCACCAGAUGUUACAAUAUGUUAACUCUGUUUCCGGAAUAAAGAAUAAUUUUUAUUGUAA